UUGCUACAAAUCUGUGUGAUGGGGUAGAGAAGGUGGCAGUAACACUGUUUUGCGGACCAAAAGAGAGUUACUGUAACACCAGACAAAAUCCGCCCUAAGCCACCCGCUGAUGACAGAGAAAAGAAGUUUGAGAUGAUGGAUAAUGUUGAGGCAUUUUACAGUAAAGGCUGGAGCAGUGGACAAGUCAGAAUGAUUCUGGGUGAGAACACAUUUUCUGUUUAUCUGAAUAGCUGGAUGGAAACACUUGAAUUCAAAGCUUCAGAUUUGAGAAUUCAUAGAGAAUGGCUAGAUGGAGUGUGGAAGAUGGCAGAUGGGACUCCAUUGCAUGAGACAGCUUCCAAACAAGAUGAAGCCAAUCCAGAUCAGACGCAGCAGGAUACUAAGGAGCCUAUGAAUGAGAACAUUUCAAAAAACAUUUCAGACACAGCGCCUUACUCGAGCCCGCGCAAAAAAUUUAAGAGAGCAAAAUAAGAACGAAGAACCCAGAGUUCAAACUCACUUUGAUGUCAGUGCUAAUGUGGAGAUUGCAUCAAAAGAUGAAGACAAAUAUGUGAAAUGGUAUCCAGGAAUUGUGUUGAAGACAGAUAUUCGAAAUGGGGUUGAGUUGUUGAAGGUUGAGUACUCAACAUAGUUUCGGGACAGAGAGAAAAGGACAAAGAAACUUCAGGAAAGUGUGUCCAUUGACAGUAUCCGUCCUCAACCACCACCUGGAGAUACAAAUGGUUUUGACCUGACGGAUAAGGUGGAGGCGUACCACAAUGACGGUUGGUGCAGUGGAGAAGUUCAUAUAAUUUUAAGUAAUGACAUAUAUUCUGUCCGUUUCAACAGUUCUACUGAAUUCAUUCUGAUCUGCGCAUACCUAAAAAAUGGGUAGAUGGUGUUUGGAAGAUGGAAAAAAGAGGGGAAGCCUGUUGUUGGUAUGAAGAGGAAAGCAACUGCCCAGCCAGUAGAUCGUCUUGCUUUUCUUCAACGAGAAGAGAAGAGGCCAAUAGUACCUAGAAACCCUCCUAUGUCUGUAACACCUGAGGUUAUCCUUCCUAUUGAUCCAUUUGUGACACCUGAAUUUCCUCUGUUUUCAAGGCUUGGAUAUUGGAUGCAGCUAUGUGGCAUACAUUAUGUGUAAGCAAAUUAUGUCCUUGUAUAAAAUAUUCGUAAUUUAUUUUGACAGAGAUUGAUUAAUCAUUUAACUUUUUUCAAGUAGAGGCCUCUCUAUAUCAAUGGAAACAAAAUAGAGAAAUAUUUCUUUGAAUACCUUGACUAUGCAGAAAAAAUCUCAAAGAAAAGCACGUAGAUGUUGCAUUUGCAAUGCUAAAUCAAAAGAGAAUUGAGCAAUCUUCUUGGUUCAGCGAGCAAGGUAUCCCAAAAGCUUGGUUUGUACCAGUCCAGUUCUUAGAAAUGGUUGGAUACAGUUAUGAAAAUCUCCAGAAGCCAGAUAAAAA